GCGCUCGCUUCGGCAGCACGUAUACUAAAGUCGGAACGAUACAGAGAAGAUGAGGAUGGCCCCUGUGCAAGGAUGACACGCAAAUUCGUGUCUUUUUGAGACAUUGC
rnacentral:snRNA from 1 species